rnacentral:rRNA from 1 species
CCUACGGGAGGCAGCAGUGGGGAAUUUUGGACAAUGGGCGAAAGCCUGAUCCAGCAAUGCCGCGUGAGUGAAGAAGGCCUUCGGGUUGUAAAGCUCUUUUGUCAGGGAAGAAACGGUGCGGGCUAAUAUCCUGCACUAAUGACGGUACCUGAAGAAUAAGCACCGGCUAACUACGUGCCAGCAGCCGCGGUAAUACGUAGGGUGCAAGCGUUAAUCGGAAUUACUGGGCGUAAGGCGUGCGCAGGCGGUUUUGUAAGUCUGUCGUGAAAUCCCCGGGCUCAACCUGGGAAUUGCGAUGGAGACUGCAAGGCUAGAAUCUGGCAGAGGGGGGUAGAAUUCCACGUGUAGCAGUGAAAUGCGUAGAGAUGUGGAGGAACACCGAUGGCGAAGGCAGCCCCCUGGGUCAAGAUUGACGCUCAUGCACGAAAGCGUGGGGAGCAAACAGGAUUAGAUACCCUGGUAGUCCAACGCCCUAAACGAUGUCUACUAGUUNUCGGGUUUUAAUUAACUUGGUAACGCAGCUAACGCGUGAAGUAGACCGCCUGGGGAUACGGUCGCAAAGAUUAAAAACUCAAAAGGAAUUGAGG